UAUCUCAUUUUUUGUAAAUUAAAAAAAAAAAAAAAACUUCUUCUCUUUUCUGAUUGUUUAUUUUUUGAUGAUUGUUGUUGUUGGUAGAGGAGGACGCGAAAAAUUCUCCCUUCGUGCAGAGGCAUGGGAAAUGAAUAACCACGACGUCUAAUAUUCUUGGUGAAUGAAGAAUUCUUUCAUGCGGGGGCAAAUCUUUUCUUGUUCUUUCUUUCCUUUUAUAUCAAUAAUCACCAGGAUGUUCAUUCUGAUUGUGUGAAUGUUUCGAAUUUUUUAAGCUGUAGCCAUGCCUUGUGUUUUUGCCCUUUUCUUUUUUUGACUGAAUCAAACUUGCACGGUUGAUGCUGUUGUCUAAAUCUUUUCUAAAUGCAUGACAGAAAAUAAUCAAAUUAUUGAGUAUUGGGAUCAUGCUCAAUUAUUAUGGAUAAAUUUCCUGGAUUUAUAUUUAUAUUUUAAUUUUGUAAAA